AUGAGCCGAUGCUAGGACGCAUGCUCGGUAGCUGGGAGGAAGUAGAAGCUAAUUUUCUCCUGGCGCUGCCGGUCAGCACCGGGCGCUGCCGGUAGCGUGCGCCGGGCUCGUCUCCUCACUGCGAGAGACCUGCUCAGCCGCUCGACUCCGGCUGCCCCGCAGCUCCGGACCCUGCCCCCGCGACGUGCCCUGGUCUCGGGGGGGGGCUCGAGAACCCACCCAGCUCUUCCAUUCCCGCCUGUAACGGUAUAAGGGCCGGAGGGGCCGGCCGGUCUGGGGCAACGAGCUGCCUGUGCCUGGUUGGGGGCUCCCCUGUAUGUGGGGGGGGACACACCAGUGCAGCCUCCGUGUGGAUGGGGAGUGCCCCAUGGCCAGCUCCCCGCGAGGGUGGGUGGGUUGAGGGGUCGCGUUGGAGAGUGAGCGCCCUUGGCCGCAAAGGGUGCCAGACACAGGUAAGAUCCUCGCCUUGCGCGUGGUUUGCCGUCAGCACUUUGCAAUAUCGGCUAUGGCGGCUGUUCUCCUAAAGCUGCUCCCUCUAGACCCAGGGGACGAAGGCACGCAAAGAUGCAGGAUGGGACCUGCCACGUUAUCCACUCUGGGAGCCAGGCUCGGAUCCCCCCUUAGGAUCACAGUUCCUGGUGGCUGCUGUUUGUGCACCGCCUGGCCCAGAAAUGAUUUGGCUGAUGGUUACCUGCAGCUUGAUCUGAAAUGUAAAACUUCAGGUUUAGCUGCAAGCAAGUUGAAAGGUCUCGUGCUGAGUGUCAGUCACUUGAAGCUUUUGGCCUGUCACGGGUUGAGAAAAGUAACAGUGAAAGUGGUCCUUAAGAACCUUGCCCUGAAAAAAUCCACCCCAGAAGCAACACUACAGGAGAUAGUCAAAGAGCUGAUGAGAAAUGUGUAUGUUUCUCUUCACCAUGUUGUUACUGCUGCCCCAAUUCCUGGAAAUCCAGUAGUGUGUGUUGAAAUACUGGCUGUAGAUGCUUCGACAGAACAAGCUGGCCUGAUAGCUCCCAAAACUAAUAUAAACAUUAAAGAAGUAGUCACUUUAGAAUGGUACAGACACUUGUCAAAGGACACCGCAAAAAUUUCAGCUGCAGGAAUGGAUGAUUUGGGCAGCUCUUUGAAAGAGAUGAUUGUUUUGCCUUUCCAUUUUCCCAAAACCUUCAAGAAGUUGGGUCUUUCUGUCCCUCGUGGAGUACUGUUGGUGGGCCCUCCAGGUGUGGGGAAGACUCUUCUCAUAAAGGCAGUUGCAAGGGAAGUGGGGGCGUAUUUGCUUUGCAUCAGUGGUCCAGCUAUAUAUGGCUCAAGGCCUGGAGAAAGUGAAGAGAAUUUGCGAAGAGUUUUUGAACAAGGCAGGGAAUUGUCCAGUGAAGGACCAACCAUUCUCUUUAUUGAUGAAAUUGACUCUUUGUGCCCUAAACGGGGAAGUUCAAACAGCAUCCCUGAAAAUCGUAUUGUUGCUCAAUUGUUAACUCUUAUGGACGGCAUAGGCAGUGAAAAUGAGAUGGUCGUCAUGGCAGCAACAAACAGGCCCGAUGCCUUAGAUCCUGCACUGAGAAGACAUGGUAGAUUUGACCGAGAGGUUAUCAUUGGGACACCAACACUUAAACAGAGAAGGUCUAUUCUACAGUUGAUUACUUCUAAUAUGCCUAUUUCCACUGAUGUUGAUUUGAUCAACCUAGCAGAAAUGACAACUGGAUAUGUUGGAGCUGAUCUUACGGCACUCUGCAGAGAAGCUGCUAUGCAGGCUGUCCUCCACAGCUGUUUGGAUUCAGUUCGCACGUUGAUUAACAUGGCAGAUUUCCGUGAAGCUUUUAAAAAGAUUCAGCCAUCUUCCUUUCGAAGCAGUGUUGGACUAACUGACUUUAAACCUGUUACCUGGGAACAAAUUGGUGGUCUUGAAGACGUGAAAUUAAAGUUAAAACAGAGUAUUGAGUGGCCUAUGAAGUUUCCUCAGGCUUUUGUGAGGAUGGGAUUGUCUCAGCCAAAGGGUAUUCUCCUAUAUGGGCCACCGGGAUGUGCCAAAACCACUCUGGUGAAGGCUGUGGCCACAAGCUGCCAUUGUUCCUUUCUUUCUGUUAGUGGUGCUGACCUUUUUUCACCUUAUGUUGGAGAUUCAGAGAAGAUUUUGUCUCAGGUUUUUCGACAAGCAAGAGCACAUACUCCAGCAAUAAUAUUCCUGGAUGAGAUUGAUUCUAUCCUAGGAUCUCGAUCAGCCUGCAAAACUGGACAUGGUGCCCCAGAGAAGGUUCUUUCUGUCCUUCUUAAUGAACUAGAUGGUGUUGGCAUUAAAGUCACAGAGAGAAGAGGAAAUAAAUUACAACUUGAAGGUGAUUGUCAAGAACAAAAUGAAAAGGAGAGACAGAUAGCGUUUCAAGAAGUUUUGAACAAAGAUGUCAUGAUAGUUGCUGCAACAAAUAGACCAGACAAGUUGGAUGAUGCCUUGUUGCGCCCUGGAAGGUUAGACAAGAUCAUCUAUAUUCCACCUCCAGAUCAGAAGGGAAGGCUUUCUAUUUUGAAAAUUUGCACAGAAAAAAUCCCAAUAGAUUCUGAUGUGUCAUUAGAACACCUAGCAGUUCAAACCAAACUCUUUUCUGGAGCCGAUAUUGAAAAUCUCUGCAAGGAGGCUGCUUUGCAGGCAUUACAAGAGAAUGGACUUGAAGCAACUAGUGUGAAACAUGAGCAUUUUGUAAAAUCACUGAAGACUGUAAAACCAUCAUUAACCCUCACAGAUUUGGAUUUUUAUGAAAAAUUAUUUAAUAAGGAAGUAUCCUCUUAAAUCAGAAAAAUUUGAAGAAUGACAUGCAAAAAUUGGUGGGUUUUUUUUAAUCUGUUAUAUAAUCUUUUAUAAAUGCAUGAUUUUGUAUAACACUUCUAAAAGUGACCUGCAAACAAAGGGCAGAAAAGUUUUAUGGUACCCAUUUUCCCUUCCUUACUGUAUAGAAAGAAGAAUUGAAAGGCUAUAUAUAUUCAUUCUGCUGGUUUUUGACAUAGAAGUAUUAAGCAUGGUCUUCCAUAGGACCUUCCACCUCUGAGUCCCAGUCAGUCAGCACUUCUGUGAGCCAGAAUGCAGCUCUUAAGACCAGUACCAGUAAGAGAUCUGACACAGUCUGAGAGGCCAUCCACAACCGCCAGAAAUCUUUGAGGAUUUACAUUGUAUAUUGAAAGCUGCUUUUAACUGAAGGCACAAGAUCAUCUGCAGAAGUCACUGUCAAACAAAUAUUGCAUCUCUACAAGACAGUCCACUAGGUCUGCAGCUCAGAUAAAUUACGAUUUCAAUCAUCUAUAAAAUGAGACAGCAGGACAGUUAAGGAUUUUUAAUUCAUAUCUGUACUUAAAGCUCUAUUCUGGAUUUUGGAUACAAGAUCUUCAGGAGUAAAAGGCUUUUCUAUAAUUUAAAAAAACCAAGACUGAAGUGCCCAAGGAUCCUGAGGACAAAAUGCUUGUAUGAAUAAAGUAUAUUAAGUGACAUUGACUGUGGGAACUGUGAGCCACUAAAGUUGUGUGUAGGUUCCUCGCAAUCUGCAAAUAUACGUGUAUCAUAUAACUUGUAUAGUAUUUUUAGCAGAAGGCAUGCCAGAAGCACUUUUGGCUAUUGCAGGUAUAUAGCAUCAUUGAAAUGAAGCUGCCAUUUGGUGGUUUGCCUAUUUUUGUGAAUUUGGGAACCCAUUUUGUCCAAAAGAAUUUUACAUCGUCUGUUGUUGGAUCAGUAAUGAAACAAGCAGAUACCAAUACAAGCACAAACCUAUUAAAACAAAACAGUCCAGAGGUAAGUAAUAAUUGGUGCUGUUGGGAAGAGUGGUGUUUUUACUGACAAUCUUUUUUGCAGUCUGAAUUUUAUCAAUCCCCAGUUUUCCUCCUACAUUCCAUCAUCCUUUAUGCGUUUGCAUUGUAAGUGGAAAUGUUUGUUUAAAAAUACACUGAUAUCUGGAAUGAUUAAAUAUUUUUACAAGUGUC